UACGAAGGGGGCUAGCGUUGCUCGGAAUCACUGGGCGUAAAGGGUGCGUAGGCGGGUCUUUAAGUCAGGGGGGAAAUCCUGGAGCUCAACUCCAGAACUGCCUUUGAUACUGAGGAUCUUGAGUACGGGAGAGGUGAGUGGAACUGCGAGUGUGGAGGUGAAAUUCGUAGAUAUUCGCAAGAACACCAGUGGCGAAGGCGGCUCACUGGCCCGUAACUGACGCUGAGGCACGAAAGCGUGGGGAGCAAACAGG
rnacentral:rRNA from 1 species